rnacentral:tRNA from 1 species
GAGGGUACAGCUCAGUGGUAGAGCGUGUGCUUAGCAUGCACGAGGUCCUGGGUUCAAUCCCCAGUACUUCCA